UACGAAGGGGGCUAGCGUUGUUCGGAAUCACUAGGCGUAAAGCGCAGGUAGGCGGUUUGGUAAGUCUUUUGUGAAAGCUCCCGGCUCAACUGGGAGAGGUCAAGGGAAACUACCGGACUAGAGUGUGGUAGGGGAUACUGGAAUUCCUGGUGUAGCGGUGAAAUGCGUAGAUAUCGGGAGGAACACCAGUAGCGAAGGCGACACUCUGGGCCGGUACUGACGCUGAGGAGCGAAAGCGUGGGGAGCGAACAGG
rnacentral:rRNA from 1 species